GUUUUGGAUGUCAAUGAUGUGACAAAGAGCAGCCAACAGUGGAUGUGGUGGUUUAGCUGGAGAAAAAUUCAGGAUUCAAUCAAGAAAGAAAGGAAACAAUUCCUAAUGGAGAAUCAUGUUCCCUUUUGCCUCUCCUGUCCACGAUCCAGGUCUUGGACACAACAAGGGCAUUUCCUUCCUCAGCCAGCAAAGCUCCAGGAUCCAUCUGAUGAUGCCAUGGCUCUGCAGCGAUUCUUGGGACAGAGCUGCAAACUGGGAGAGACACCAACCCUGCCCAGCAAAGCACCAGGAAAUCGCCAACCAGGCGCUUUUUGCCUUUAGAUUUCACAUAUUUAGAAAGAGGAGGGGGGAACCCAGCCUGGCUCCUGCUAAGCAGCAGCAGCAGCACACAAAGCGAUCGUUAUGCCAAGAUUUAGCUGUUAAAUCCCUCAAGAUCUGGUGCUCACAGAGCAUAAACAACCUUUGCCUCCCAGCCUGGCCGAGCUGUACCUCCAGGUUUCCCAGCACAGCCACACAGACCCUCCCAUAGCCAUCCCCUCCCCAGCCCUUUGCUGAGGCUGCCGUGCCAACAAGAAAGCCAGUUGCCAUGGCAUUUUUUCCCCCUACAGACAGAUGUCCAUUAAAAACCAAGUCAGCCUCA